AGCGGACAGUGAUCCAAUACCUA
rnacentral:siRNA from 1 species